UUUGAACGCUGGCGGCAGGCCUAACACAUGCAAGUCGAGCGAGCGGCGGACGGGUGAGUAAUGUAUGGGGACUGCCCGAUAGCGGGGGAUAACUACUGGAAACGGUGGCUAAUACCGCAUACUAUCGGAUAACCCAUAUGGGAUUAGCCAGUAGGUGGGGUAAAGGCUCACCUAGGCGACGAUCUCUAGCUGGUCUGAGAGGAUGAUCAGCCACACUGGGAGUGAGACAGGGCCCAGACUCCUCCGGAGGCAGCAGUGGGGAAUAUUGCACAAUGAGCGCAAGCCUGAUGCAUCCAUGCCAGGUUUAUGAAGAAGGCCUUAGGGUUGUAAAGUACUUUCAGCGGGGAGGCGUUGCCCGCAGAAGAAGCACCGGCUAACUCCGUGCCAGCAGCCGCGGUAAUAC
rnacentral:rRNA from 1 species